rnacentral:rRNA from 1 species
UGGGGAAUAUUGGACAAUGGGGGAAACCCUGAUCCAGCCAUGCCGCGUGCGUGAAGAAGGCCUUAGGGUUGUAAAGCGCUUUCGGCGGGGAAGAUGAUGACGGUACCCGCAGAAGAAGCCCCGGCUAACUACGUGCCAGCAGCCGCGGUAAUACGUAGGGUGCAGGCGUUAAUCGGAAUUACUGGGCGUAAAGGGUGCGCAGGCGGUUUGUUAAGACAGGUGUGAAAUCCCCGGGCUUAACCUGGGAAUUGCGCUUGUAACUGGCAGGCUAGAGUGUGGCAGAGGGGGGUGGAAUUCCACGUGUAGCAGUGAAAUGCGUAGAGAUGUGGAGGAACACCGAUGGCGAAGGCAGCCCCCUGGGCCUGUACUGACGCUCAUGCAUGAAAGCGUGGGGAGCAAACAGGAUUAGAUACCCAUGUAGUCCCUGAGCGGGCUGGCAAGGCGCAU